rnacentral:rRNA from 1 species
AUUGAACGCUGGCGGUAUGCCUAACACAUGCAAGUCGAACGGUAACAGAGGAAAGCUUGCUUUCUUGCUGACGAGUGGCGGACGGGCGAGUAACGCGUGGGAAUCUACCUAGUAGUUGGGGAUAGCCCGGAGAAAUCCGGAUUAAUACCGAAUGUGGUCUACGGACGAAAAGGUGCCUCUUCUUGAAAGCACUUGCUACUAGAUGAGCCCGCGUUAGAUUAGUUUGUUGGUGGGGUAAAGGCCUACCAAGACUGCGAUCUAUAGCUGGUUUGAGAGGAUGAUCAGCCACAUUGGGACUGAGACACGGCCCAGACUCCUACGGGAGGCAGCAGUGGGGAAUAUUGGACAAUGGGCGCAAGCCUGAUCCAGCAAUACCGCGUGUGUGAAGAAAGCCUUAGGGUUGUAAAGCACUUUUAUGUAGGAAGAAGGAUUGUAUGUUAAUAGCAUAUGAUAUUGACGGUACUACAAGAAUAAGGACCGGCUAACUCCGUGCCAGCAGCCGCGGUAAUACGGAGGGUCCGAGCGUUAAUCGGAAUUACUGGGCGUAAAGGGUACGUAGGCGGCUUUAUAAGUCAGAUGUGAAAUCCCCGGGCUUAACCUGGGAACUGCAUUUGAAACUGUAUGGCUAGAGUAAGUGAGAGGUUAGUGGAAUUCCAGGCGUAGCGGCGAAAUGCGUAGAGGUCUGGAGGAACAUCAGUGGCGAAGGCGACUAACUGGCUCUAUACUGACGCUGAGGUACGAAAGCGUGGGGAGCGAACAGGAUUAGAUACCCUGGUAGUCCACGCCCUAAACGAUGAGGACUGGCUGUCAGUGCUAUAGACGCAUUGGUAGCGAAGCUAACGCGUUAAGUUCUCCGCCUGGGGAGUACGGCCGCAAGGCUGAAACUCAAAGGAAUUGACGGGGGCCCGCACAAG